rnacentral:lncRNA from 1 species
AGCUAACUCUGCUGUUUUGAGCCAGACCUUGUUCUGUUAGAAAAACGAGUCAAACAAAUGCCUACUUAAGGACUGUUGUACCACUAGAAACUUCUGUUUCCGUGGAUAACAGAGACAUCUCUGAAAGUCAACCCAAUCUUCUGGAGCAGUCCCUAUUUCUCUUUCACAGUAGUUCCAGCCUAAUGGCUGUUCUGCCUGUUGCAGAGCUCUUUCUGCACCAGCUUGCAUGCAACACCUUCUGCUGACCCCCAGAGGUCCAGAGAAUCAGAAGUGCCUUUGGCUCACGCUGCUGAUUAUCAGCUUAGCUUCUUG